rnacentral:tRNA from 1 species
GCUGUUAUAGCUUAAUGAUAAAGCAAGUUACUGUUAAUAAUUGGAUAGGGGUUUGAUUCCUCUUAACGGCU